ensembl:lncRNA
GUCAGUGCUGCCCUCUGAACUCGUCUCACCCUUUGCUUCCCCUCUCUGUGUCCACUGUCCGCUGUCUACGUCUGCGUCUCUAUUCCUGCCCGGCAAACAGGAGUUUUAGUCUUGUCAUCUCCUCUGUCUCUUCAAGUUGGGUUUUGAAUCGGAGUCAAGACUUUUAAUUGCUACUGUUUUCUCAAUACAAUAUGGAGCAAAGCUGUCAUCUGAGAGUGGGAAUGGACUUUUGGAGCUUUGAGGAAAGAAGGUGUGAUGUGGUUGUCUAGAAGAGAAGAGGAUGGAAUGGAGCAAGAAAGAGUCCAGUGAUUGCUGGGUAGCAUUUUGCUGCCAUAGAUACAGAGGACUUGAGAGGUCCCUGAAGGAAGACAGAGAAGGCUGCCUGAAAUUAGGAGAUUGCCUGGAUGGAAUGUGACUGAUGGAGUCAAUCUUGUAAAGGACCAAGGACAUAGAAAGAUGAGAAAUUUUGGCCAAACAGGAAGUAUGUUACUUGCAUGGUUAUUUGUCUCUCCAUUCUUGAUGUUCCUUCUAUAGUCUGCUAAAGAAAUAGUUUUAUU